GGGGGUGAGGUUUUUAACGAGGCGGUGUCAUGUAAUAUACAAGAGAAAAAUCCCCCGCAAAAUUCACGUCGAAAAAAGACCGCAUCAACGGUCUUCGACAUUCGACUAAUACAAAGUCACCGCGAGGCCCAGCAGCAGCCGCCCUCGCGUGCGACAAAUCCGUGCAGAAGUCGCCUAAGGGUGCAGCCGGACUAGCACAACAAGUGCGAAAAAUUGAAGUCUUCCACGAAGACUAUCCGCGCAGAAGUCGCCUAAAGGUGCAGCCGGACUAGCACAAUAAGUGCGAAAAAUCGAAGUCUUCCACGAAGACUAUCCGCGCAGAAGUCGCCUAAGGGUGCAGCCGGACUAGCACAACAAGUGCGAAAAAUCGAAGUCUUCCACGAAGACUAUCCGCGCAGAAGUCGCCUAAAGGUGCAGCCGG
rnacentral:lncRNA from 1 species